GCUGGUAUAGCUCAGCUGGUAGAGCAACGCAUUCGUAAUGCGUGGGUCGUAGGUUCAAAUCCUAUUACCAGCUCCA
rnacentral:tRNA from 1 species